rnacentral:misc_RNA from 1 species
AUACCUCAACCCUUACCGGUUUUAUCGCUUGUAAGGUGUUGGUUGUGAGCGUUGCCGGUCGCAAGAUCAGCUCGCUUUAAAGUCAUUAGCUGGAUCCACUUUGACCUGGUUCUACUCGGCGUAAUAAGUUAUUAUCGUCGAGGACACCUUCUCUUUUUUUUUUGAGGGUGGCCACAGUAAAGGUUGCGAACCGCUUCUAAUACGUUCUGCUUAGUCUUUGGGCUAACGCAACACUUUUUUUUUAU